ACUAAAUGGUAAGCCUGUCAUUUUUUAACAUGUAAAUUUUAUAUAACACACACUCUGUAAGUAAAUCAUUUAUACUUCUAGUAUUGGAGAAAGAAAGAAAUUCAAGCGCAUAAAAGUACCGCAAGGGAAAACUGAAAAACUAGUGAAAAAUUAAGUUUUUAAAAGCAAAGACUAACACUUGUACCUUUUGCAUCAUGGUCUAGCUAGUCAUGAAGGGCAGAAAGAAUUUUAGUCCCACCCCCGAAACUAGGCGAGCUACUCCGAGACAGCCAAACGGGCCAACUCGUCCAUGUGGCAAAAUGGUGAGAAGAGCUCCGAGUAGCGGUGAAAAGCCAAACGAGCCUAGAGAUAGCUGGUUGCUCGAGAAACGAAUCUUAGUUCUACCCUAAAUUUUUCACGGGCUACAACCUUAAACCCCGUAAUUAAAUUUAGAGGCUACUCAAAGGGGGGACAGCCCCUUUGUGAAAGGACACAACCUCAACAAACGGAUAAUGAUUAAUCUACAAGGUAAAAUUUAAGUGGGCCUAAAAGCAGCCACCAACAAAGAAAGCGUUAUAGCUCCCCCAUAACUUUACCCAUCAAUUCAAUUAAACAAUCAUAAUCCAUCUUACGUAUCGAGCUGACUUAUAUCAUUAUAAGUGCAAAAAUGCUAGAAUGAGUAACAAGAAAAUACAAUUUUCUCCUCACAUAGGUGUUAGUCAGAACAGAUUACCUACUGACAAUUACUGAUAAUGAACACAAUGUAUUAACCUGUCAUAAGCAAGAAAACCCUACACUGAUAUAUCAUAAAUUCUACACUGAAGUGUGCUUGGAAAAAUUAAAGGGGAGAGAAGGAAUUCGGCAACUAUGGGCCUCGCCUGUUUACCAAAAACAUCGCCUCCUGCCAAAUAUAGGAGGUACUGCCUGCCCUGUGACUCUGUUUAACGGCCGCGGUAUUUUGACCGUGCGAAGGUAGCGUAAUCACUUGUCUCUUAAUUAGGGACCUGUAUGAAUGGCAACACGAGGGUCCAACUGUCUCCUCCCCCAGAUUAGUGAAAUUGAUCUAUCCGUUCAAAAGCGGAUAUUUUUUCAUAAGACGAGAAGACCCUGUGGAGCUUAAAGUUCUAAUAUUAAACAUGAGCGUAAAUAUAUACUUUAAGUUUUGUAAUAUUAAAUACUUUCGGUUGGGGCGACCACGGAGUAUAAAAAACCCUCCGCAAUACAAUUCUAUUUUAAGAAGGACACUUCUCAAACUAGAAUAUCUAGCACAAUUGACCCAGUCUAACUGAGCAAUGAACCAAGUUACCCCAGGGAUAACAGCGCAAUCCCCUUUAAGAGUCCCCAUCGACGAGGGGGUUUACGACCUCGAUGUUGGAUCAGGGUAUCCUGGUGGUGCAGCCGCUACCAAGGGUUUGUUUGUUCAACAAUUAAUAUCCUACGUGAUCUGAGUUCAGACCGGAGCAAUCCAGGUCAGUUUCUAUCUAUGACUUCUUUUUUCUAGUACGAAAGGACUGAAAAAGGGGGGCCUAUAUAAAAAUAUGCCCCACCCACUACUACUGAAUUUAUAUAAAGUAGCCAAGUGGGAAACCCCCCACACGGGAGAAAACCACACU
rnacentral:rRNA from 1 species